AUGGUUCUACUAAAUAAAUUUAUGUCAAGAGUGAAUAUGGCUGAUGUGGACACUCUCUUUAGAAUAGAAGGUACAAGAGGAACUGACCAAUCAGAGGAAGGGACCAAAGAGGUCACAUGACCUUCCAGAGUGAGAAGGCUGCUGGAUCACAGUAGGGAAAGAAGCCACUUCUUGGGGAUAGAACCCAGGGAGGAAUAAAGAAACCCACUUUUCUACAGUCACAUAGAAAGUCAUAAAUAGCAGCAAAAUUGAAUUUCUAAGGCACCAGGAGAAUGAGGAGAAGCUUGUGGCUGACUUGAAUCCCUCAGAUGAUUUUGUUUUAUGAAGGAUGGGAUGAAAAUGUCAGAGUACACGGAAAACAUCUUAGUUCUUCCCAUCUCCAGUGGGAUCAUUCAAAUCCUGCCCCAGGUCCUGUUGAGCUAGUGCUGAUGCCCCAGGAAGAGGAGCAAAGAGGAAGCCUGAGAAAAAAAUGUGCAUCGCAUCGGCCAACAAUCCAUUUGGACUUUUUCUCUAUCUGUUUGCUUGUUUAUUUUUUUCCUAAGGGGCCAUUCCUUCAUCUGCUUCUCAGAAUUCUACACCAUCUCCUAAAACACAAAAAGGACACAGUUUGCCAGGCUUAGGUGACUUGGAGAAGGAUGAUGGAAAUCAUUCAGAUCAUUCCCUUGGCAAUGUAGCCAGCCCCAUUCUGGACUUCCCUGCCACGACAUCCUCAGUCUCUCACACAUAAGGUAAUCCAGGUUGAAUAUUUCUUCAGUCAUGUUUCUGGAGUCUGAAAGAAAACAAAGUCUCACAGUGUUCAAGAAUUCAGCUACUGAGACUGAAGCCAAAUAGAUUCUUGGAGAAAUGUGAAGAAAGGUAAUGGCACACUUG